rnacentral:rRNA from 1 species
UAACGGCGAGUGAAGCGGCAACAGCUCAAAUUUGAAAUCUGGCUCCCUCGGGCGCCCGAGUUGUAAUUUGCAGAGGGUGCUUUGGCGUCGGCAGCGGCCUAAGUUCCUUGGAACAGGGCGUCACAGAGGGUGAGAACCCCGUACGUGGCCGCCCGCCUUCGCCGUGUAAAGCCCCUUCGACGAGUCGAGUUGUUUGGGAAUGCAGCUCUAAAUGGGAGGUAAAUUCCUUCUAAAGCUAAAUACUGGCCAGAGACCGAUAGCGCACAAGUAGAGUGAUCGAAAGAUGAAAAGCACUUUGGAAAGAGAGUCAAAAAGCACGUGAAAUUGUUGAAAGGGAAGCGCUUGCAGCCAGACUUGCCCGCGGUCGAUCUUCUUCCGCGGUCAGGCCAGCAUCAGUCUGGGCGGUCGGAUAAAGGCCUCGGGAAUGUAGCUCUCUCCGGGGAGUGUUAUAGCCCGGGGCGCCAUGCGGCCAGCCAGGACUGAGGUCCGCGCAUCUGCUAGGAUGCUGGCGUAAUGGCUGUAAGCGGCCCGUCUUGAAACACGGACCAAGGAGUCUAACAUCUAUGCGAGUGUUUGGGUGUCAAGCCCGGGCGCGCAAUGAAAGUGAACGGAGGUGGGAACCCCUCGGGGCGCACCAUCGACCGAUCCUGAUGUCUUCGGAUGGAUUUGAGUAAGAGCAUAGCUGUUGGGACCCGAAAGAUGGUGAACUAUGCCUGAAUAGGGUGAAGCCAGAGGAAACUCUGGUGGAGGCUCGCAGCGGUUCUGACGUGCAAAUCGAUCGUCAAAUUUGGGCAUAGGGGCGAAAGACUAA